GACGAACGCUGGCGGCGUGCCUAAUACAUGCAAGUCGAACGCAGUGGGGACGGGUGAAUAACACGUCUGUAACCUCCCCAUCAGAGUGGAUAACACUUGGAAACAGGUGCUAUACCGAUAUUGAUGGAUGGACCCGCGUUGCAUUAGCUAGUUGGUGAGGUAACGGCUCACCAAGGCCACGAUGCAUAGCCGACCUGCGAGGGUGGUCGGCCACACUGGGACUGAGACACGGCCCAGACUCCUACGGGAGGCAGCAGUAGGGAAUCUUCGGUAAUGGACGAAAGUCUGACCGAGCAACGCCGCGUGAGGGAAGAAGGUUUUCGGAUCGUAAUACUCUGUUGUUAGAGAAGCGGUAUCUAACCAGAAAGCCACGGCUAACUACGUGCCAGCAGCCGCGGUAAUAC
rnacentral:rRNA from 1 species